GCCCGGCUGGCUCAGUGGGUAGAGCACGAGGCUCUUAAUUUCUGGAUCGUGGGUUCGUGCCCCACGUUGGGCG
rnacentral:tRNA from 13 species